CCGCCUGGCCGCGGGAUUUCCGUAGGUGANACCUGCGGAAGGAUCAUUCGCACAUGCUCCAAACUCAUUUCUGUGAAUAAUUCUGUGAGGUUUUGUGUGGAGAUGUUCGUCCCCAUGCAAAUUCUCGCGGGCUGUGGGGUGGAUGGGAUGAUUACCAUACCUGUUCAUUCCCACUGCCAUUGCCAACUGCAACGCGACUUGAAGCGAGCUUUGUGUUGAUGGCUUCUGCCAUUUGCAGCUCACAACUUUCAGCGAUGGAUGUCUCGGUUCGAACAACGAUGAAGGGCGCAGCGAAGUGCGAUAAGCAUUGUGAAUUGCAGAAUUCCGUGAACCGACAGGGACUUGAACGCAUAUUGUGCUUUUGGGAUAUCCCUAAAAGCAUGCCUGCUUCAGUGUCUAUUCUUUGUUGUUCCAGCGACUGUUGCUUGUAGCUGGCAUGUUGCUGUGAGCACUUGUGCCUCAAGAUGUUUGGCCCUGUUUGGGUGUCCCUGAGGCAUGCGAUUGACAAGGCUGCGGUGUGGCGGUCAGCUUACUGAGGCAUCUGUGUGUGCAUCUUUUGCAAUGGCCGUCUCAUCGUGAGGCUUGCUGUCACGAUCUGGUUUUACCAAGUGUUGAGACAUGAAGUUAGGUUGGCAAACCCGCUGAAUUUAAGCAUAUCAAU
rnacentral:rRNA from 1 species